GUAAUGUCUGGGAAACUGCCUGAUGGAGGGGGAUAACUACUGGAAACGGUGGCUAAUACCGCAUAACGUCGCAAGACCAAAGAGGGGGACCUUCGGGCCUCUUGCCAUCAGAUGUGCCCAGAUGGGAUUAGCUAGUUGGUGAGGUAACGGCUCACCAAGGCGACGAUCCCUAGCUGGUCUGAGAGGAUGACCAGCCACACUGGAACUGAGACACGGUCCAGACUCCUACGGGAGGCAGCAGUGGGGAAUAUUGCACAAUGGGCGCAAGCCUGAUGCAGCCAUGCCGCGUGUAUGAAGAAGGCCUUCGGGUUGUAAAGUACUUUCAGCGGGGAGGAAGGUGUUGUGGUUAAUAACCGCAGCAAUUGACGUUACCCGCAGAAGAAGCACCGGCUAACUCCGUGCCAGCAGCCGCGGUAAUACGGAGGGUGCAAGCGUUAAUCGGAAUUACUGGGCGUAAAGCGCACGCAGGCGGUCUGUCAAGUCGGAUGUGAAAUCCCCGGGCUCAACCUGGGAACUGCAUUCGAAACUGGCAGGCUUGAGUCUUGUAGAGGGGGGUAGAAUUCCAGGUGUAGCGGUGAAAUGCGUAGAGAUCUGGAGGAAUACCGGUGGCGAAG
rnacentral:rRNA from 1 species